CCUACGGGUGGCAGCAGUGAGGAAUAUUGGUCAAUGGACGCAAGUCUGAACCAGCCAAGCCGCGUGCAGGAAGACGGCUCUAUGAGUUGUAAACUGCUUUUGUACGAGGGUAAACGCAGAUACGUGUACCUGUCUGAAAGUAUCGUACGAAUAAGGAUCGGCUAACUCCGUGCCAGCAGCCGCGGUAAUACGGAGGAUUCAAGCGUUAUCCGGAUUUAUUGGGUUUAAAGGGUGCGUAGGCGGUCGGUUAAGUUAGGGGUGAAAUCCCGGGGCUUAACCUCGGAAUUGCCUGUGAUACUGGCCGGCUCGAGUGUGGUAGAGGUAUGCGGAAUGCGCGGUGUAGCGGUGAAAUGCAUAGAUAUCGUACAGAACUCCGAUUGCGAAGGCAGCAUGCCGGCUCCACACUGACGCUGAGGCACGAAAGCGUGGGUAGCGAACAGGAUUAGAUACCCCUGUAGUC
rnacentral:rRNA from 1 species